AACGAACGCUGGCGGCAUGCCUAACACAUGCAAGUCGAACGAGAUCUUUCGGGGUCUAGUGGCGCACGGGUGCGUAACGCGUGGGAAUCUGCCUUGGGGUACGGAAUAACUCAGAGAAAUUUGAGCUAAUACCAUAUGAAGUCUUCGGACCAAAGAUUUAUCGCCCUGAGAUGAGCCCGCGUAGGAUUAGCUAGUUGGUGGGGUAAAGGCCUACCAAGGCGACGAUCCUUAGCUGGUCUGAGAGGAUGAUCAGCCACACUGGGACUGAGACACGGCCCAGACUCCUACGGGAGGCAGCAGUGGGGAAUAUUGGACAAUGGGCGCAAGCCUGAUCCAGCAAUGCCGCGUGAGUGAUGAAGGCCUUAGGGUUGUAAAGCUCUUUUACCCGGGAUGAUAAUGACAGUACCGGGAGAAUAAGCCCCGGCUAACUCCGUG
rnacentral:rRNA from 1 species